rnacentral:rRNA from 1 species
GAGUUUGAUUAUGGCUCAGGAUGAACGCUGGCGGCGUGCCUAAUACAUGCAAGUCGAGCGAGAAUCUGAACGACGGAGACUUCGGUCAAAGGAAUUCAGAGGAAAGCGGCGGACGGGUGAGUAACGCGUGGGCAACCUGCCCCAUACAGAGGGAUAGCAGUUGGAAACGACUAUUAAUACCUCAUACUCCGGUUUUAUCGCAUGAUAGAACCGGGAAAGAUUUAUCGGUAUGGGAUGGGCCCGCGUCUGAUUAGCUAGUUGGUGAGGUAACGGCUCACCAAGGCGACGAUCAGUAGCCAACCUUAGAGGGUGAUUGGCCACACUGGAACUGAGACACGGUCCAGACUCCUACGGGAGGCAGCAGUAGGGAAUAUUGGGCAAUGGGGGCAACCCUGACCCAGCAACGCCGCGUGAACGAUGAAAAUCUUCGGAUUGUAAAGUUCUUUUCUUGAGGAAGAAGA